UGUGUGUGUGUGUGUAUGUGUGUGUGGGGGGUGUGCACAUGCCACGUCUCCCUCUAGUGGCCGCGGGCAGGACAACAAUCUACUACUGCUGCCAGCUACUGAAUUGCUUCUUUAGCUCUAGCUACAGAGCCUGCGAGGCAUUGUAUGGAUUAAAAUCUCCCCCACUGGCUCUCCUGGAAUCCCUGCUCUCGCGAGCUGCUGCUGCUUGUUCUGCCUGACUCCGCUAGAUUAAAGAGCCCUUGAGGAACGGGUAUUUUCUCCCGGUGAAGGUGCUUAGACACGGUGAUGGAAUUGGAGCCAAAAACCAAAGGAGGAAUCAGUGUAGUGCCAGGAUUAAAAUUUAGACACUCCGAGCUUCCCGUCCUACCCCUCGACCAACAGUCAUUUGGGCAGAAAACAGCCCCACUACCAUUCGCUCAUGGAUUCCCAGUGGCACUGUCCAUGCACACAGGAGUGCUUGUUCAUUUGUCAUAUGCACAUGAAUGUGUACAAGAACCAGCGCCUGCAAAGAGGGAGUUUAAAAGCUCACUACACCUCAGCCACUAACCUGGCUUGUUCUGGAUAUUUUGGGGCUACUCUGGUAUGCCGUGGGUUCAUGCUUAUUGGGGUGUGCGCAGUGGAACUGUAGGGGCACCUUUGGCAUCCUGCAACACAUGAUGCUGCAUCAAAAUAUUGUCCCGUAACAAUGGAGCCUGGUGCCAUUUCACCAUCCCUGGAAGUGAUGUAAGAACACGUGACUAUCUUCUCUGUAGGGAGGGUAGCGUGGCCGCCUGGA